rnacentral:rRNA from 1 species
UACGUAGGUGGCAAGCGUUGUCCGGAUUUAUUGGGUUUAAAGGGUGCGUAGGCGGCCUUAUACGUCAGUGCUGAAAUAUCCCGGCUUAACCGGGAGGGUGGCAUUGAUACUGUAGGGCUUGAGUGUAGUCGAGGUAGGCGGAAUUGACGGUGUAGCGGUGAAAUGCUUAGAUAUCGUCGAGAACACCGAUAGUGUAGACAGCUUACUAGGCUACAACUGACGCUGAGGCACGAAAGUGUGGGGAUCAAACAGG